AAAGCCUCUUUCCCUCUGUAGGGUUUAUGGUUGGUUUCCAACUUCAAUGCUAUGAACUCAGUGACUUAGUGAGCUCUUCCUCUACUUGCCGUAAUGAUCAUAUAGCAGUUCACAGUAUUAUCUAUCCAAAUACAAAAUCAAAAACCAAAAUCUGCUCUUCAAUUCAAAAUGAGGAAUUUGCGAUUCAUUUAUACACAUUUAACGAGAUUCCACAAAACCCUCCUUCAUAACUCUACAAGAUCACUAACCAAAUCCUCAGUCUUCACCCGUCACUUCACUUCCGCUUCUCAAGAAUCGAACCCACCUGCCCCAUCUGAUAAAGUAGCCGCCCUCGUCGAUGAAAUCUCCCAACUAACGCUUCUCGAAAUCUCUGACCUCACCGAGGUCCUUCGUAACAAGUUGGAUAUCAAGGAGAUGCCGGUAAUGGCGGUAAUGAUGCCCGGGAUGGGAUUUAGUGGCGUGAAGGCCGUCGCAAAGGGAGGAGCAGGUGCGGCGGCCAAGGUAGAAGAGAAGGUGGAGAAGACGGUGUUUGAUGUAAAGCUUGAAGGGUUUGAUGCGGCGACGAAAAUCAAAGUGAUUAAGGAAGUCAGAGGGUUUACGGAUUUAGGACUGAAGGAGGCAAAGGACUUGGUGGAGAAGGCUCCUACGCUGUUGAAGAAAGGAGUGACGAAAGAGGAGGCAGAGAAAAUUAUGGAGAAAAUGAAGGAGGUUGGCGCCAAAGUUACCAUGGAGUGAGGAACUCAGUAGCUGGAGCAUGCCCCAAGGCAAUGGGAGGAAGAAAAAUAAAAGAAAGGACAACUUUGAAGCACAAUUUGUUUCUUUCAGCGUCUACAGGAUCUUCAUUGAAAUGAAGUGUCCUUCAUGACCAACAUUGUACUGGCUGCCAAGACCUCUAAAAUCCACAACAAAUGUAGAAAGUGAGAUUCUUUUAAUUUCUAAUAUAUGUUCACUUAGCUAUGUAUUUUAUUUGCCCCUUUGAAAAAAAAAAAAAAAGUGCUUUGUAGGCCUGCACAUUUGCGUGCAUGGAGGCAUACCUGUGUGCACACAUGCAUAUUUUUGUAUGUACACUUGUGCAUACUGUGUGUAUGUACUCAGAAAUGUUUGUACGUGUAUUUGUGGACAUCCUUAGGAAAUUUGUUGAGAAAACUUCAACGAAAAGAAGUAGAAUAGUCUGCUUACCAAUUGCUAAAAUCUCUGUGGUAGAUUUGAUUGAAGGUGCUUGUCUGAACUCAGGAAAAUCCUUAGUUUGAAGCCUCUAUUCAAAAUCAACUGGCAUUCCAACAAUAUCUAGUUCUUUUAAGGUGAAACUGCAGAAUUUGCAAUUGAAGGCAACCUUUAGAGGAAAGUGCCAUUUCCUUCCAGUUGUAGGAUCUAUCACCUAAAACAAGCAUUUUAGGUUUGGCAGUGUUUCCAGCUUACUAACUGAAUCUUUCUGAAGGUGGGAGUUGUACAGGGUUAGCUUAAUGAGGUUAGGUGGGAAUUCAUAUGGGUGAGGCAGCUUCUCCAUCUUCCCUUGCAAACAAAACUUCAUGAGAUGGCCACAGUGAGGAAAUUGCAUUUGGGUUGGGAAAGCUUCUUCCUCAGAUUUAAGCAGUAGAGAGUCUAGAGACAAUGUGUCAAGCUUGUGCAUCUUUCCUAUGAUUGAAAUUACUGAAUUCACUUUUCCUCUAGUGCUUUUUCUGGAUUAUAAACCUCCCAAAACUAUCACUGCCAGAGAGGCACAUUUGACCACCAUGUCUCUUUCAACCUUCUCCAACUCUGGGGCACACUGUUGUUUCCAGGGAAUGCUUUCUUUUGGAGCAACACUGAACUUUUUUCUUCUGUUAAAAUCUGUGGUUCAUGGGUGAUGCUUCCUGCUCCUGCAUGCAAAGCAACCUUCUUACUUCGGGUGGUGAGCACCAGUUAACUUCCAACUUUGCCGCUUGGAAAUGCAGUUUCUAUCCCUUCCUUUGCAUCACUGGUUACGUCUCUAAUUUCAGAUACCCAGAUGCACGUCAUUUCACUUCCUCCUUGCUUUGCUUCUGCAUCCUUCAAGAAGCAUUGCAUCAAUUUCAAUUCAUUGCUCAGUAGCCAAAACUUCUUGCUCACCCCUUCUUGGUAACCUGCUUCUUGAACCAGUAAGGAUGUGAGCAUUUCCACAACAGUUGAUAUUGAGUACUCAAGCCAUCUCUCAUGAUUGAUGAGUAUAUUUUCCGAACAAAAUAUCUAGAGAAAAUGAUCUCUUCUUUUUUUUUUUGG
rnacentral:misc_RNA from 1 species